CCUACGGGCGGCAGCAGUGAGGAAUAUUGGUCAAUGGACGGAAGUCUGAACCAGCCAUGCCGCGUGCAGGAAGACGGCUCUAUGAGUUGUAAACUUCUUUUGUACAAGGGUAAACCUGAAUACGUGUAUUUAGCUGAAAGUACUGUACGAAUAAGGAUCGGCUAACUCCGUGCCAGCAGCCGCGGUAAUACGGAGGAUCCAAGCGUUAUCCGGAUUUAUUGGGUUUAAAGGGUGCGUAGGCGGAAUGAUAAGUUAGAGGUGAAAUGUCCGGGCUUAACUCGGGAACUGCCUCUAAUACUGUUGAUCUAGAGAGUAGGUGCGGUAGGCGGAAUGUAUGGUGUAGCGGUGAAAUGCUUAGAGAUCAUACAGAACUCCGAUUGCGAAGGCAGCUUACCAAUCUAUAUCUGACGUUGAGGCACGAAAGCGUGGGGAGCGAACAGGAUUAGAUACCCGAGUAGUC
rnacentral:rRNA from 1 species